rnacentral:tRNA from 1 species
GUGGAUAUAGCUCAGUCGGUUAGAGCGCUGGAUUGUGGUUCCAGAGGUCGCGGGUUCGAAUCCCGUUAUCCACC